rnacentral:tRNA from 1 species
GAUAAAGUGGCUGAAAUUUAAUAGGUAAUAAAUUGUAAAUUUAUUUAUGGUAUUGUACCCUUUAUCA